AUGGUGACAGAGUGAGAGAGGGGGUAAAUAGUGACCGAGUGAGGGAGGGAGAGGGUGACUAGUGACAGAGUGAGGAAGGGGGUGACACUCUCACUAGUCACCCCUUCCCUCCCUCACUCUGUCACUAGUCACACCCUCCCUCUCUCUGUCACUAGAGUGAUGGGGUGACUAGUGACAGUUACCACCUCCUUCACUCCUUCACUCUGUCAUUGUGUCACCCCCUUCCUCACUCUGUCACUAGU
rnacentral:sRNA from 1 species